CGUUAAUGGAAUAUUGAUAUUAAGUGAUGUUUUAAAUAAACUUACAAACAUCGUAUAUCAGAUUAUAUAUUAAAAAUAUCUCUUCUAUUCAAAGUUCGUUAACGAAACCGUAUGAAGCACAGAUAUACUCAAGUAAGACAUAAGAAGCACGGUAAACUCAAGAAGAAAAGAUGCGGAAACCAUUGCGAAAAAAAGGGGAUUGAAGAGAUUCACGUUUUGUGGAAUGGUGGAUAUAUUACCUUUGUCAAGACACCGCACGGAAUCUGAAGGAGUACACAUACAAGUUAUAAGUAGCACAGUAUUAUUACAAUUUUAAUUGUUGGGAAAGCAAACGCCGAUAGAUGAUUAAGUUGACAGAGAUUCUCGAAUAUCGAUUUUUUAAUUUAUGACGACGAAAAAAAGCAUGUUAAAUAGAGUAAGAAGAAUUUCUACUAGAAUUUCAAUAAUGUUUAAAAUCGAAUUUUUUGAAUUUUGCCUUAAAUACAAUGCCUGACUAAAUUUAGGGCGAUAAGCCAUUUCGUCGCGUGAACUGUUGUAACGUUUCUCAGAGAUAAAGCGCGUUUCUUGGUCAUUUCAGGUUUUAGACAUGUCUGUAAUAUUUUGUGUUACAAUAUAUCUAAAUAUGUGUUCUUUGAUGUAGA